rnacentral:rRNA from 1 species
GACGAACGCUGGCGGCGCGCUUAACACAUGCAAGUCGAACGGAAAGGCCUGCUUUCCCUUGUGGAUUGCGGGUACUCGAGUGGCGAACGGGUGAGUAACACGUGAGUGAUCUGCCCCCAACUUGGGUAUAAGCCUGGGAAACUGGGUCUAAUUCCCGAUAGGACUGCAGGGUGGUGCCUGUGGUGGAAAACGAUUUUCUAGUGGUUGGGGAUGAGCUCGCGGCCUAUCAGCUUGUUGGUGGGGUAAUGGCCUACCAAGGCGGCGACGGGUAGCCGGCCUGAGAGGGUGGACGGCCACAUUGGGACUGAGAUACGGCCCAGACUCCUACGGGAGGCAGCAGUGGGGAAUAUUGCACAAUGGGCGGAAGCCUGAUGCAGCGACGCCGCGUGGGGGAUGACGGCCUUCGGGUUGUAAACUACUUUCGACAGCGAGGAAGCCACCUGGUUGGAAGGGUGGUGACGGUAGUGGUAGAAGAAGCACCGGCUAACUACGUG